rnacentral:rRNA from 1 species
GCGACCCCMGGAUGGGCGAGGCCACCCGCCGAGUUUAAGCAUAUCAAUAAGCGGAGGAGAAG